UGAAUCACUUGUAAGAAAUGUGUAGUUGUUACUCAUUGUGCCUAAACAUCGUCCGCGCAAGCUGCAGCAAAAACAAAAAUGCCGAUAGGGCACACGGCGAUGACACUUGAAAGCGCUUCAGCUGCGAGAAUUUUCUUGCGCUGUCAAACGAUCGCAGCGUGAGAGCGAAAAGGAGAGGAACAUCUACUUCCGCUGUGGCUCGUCGUGCAAAUCGUCCUCUGCAGCGGCGAGGCGUCAUUGCAAAACGAGUGGUCGACGGUGAAAGGUGCGUGCGUGCCGUCGCGAGCGAGACACGCGGAAAAGUGGUGCCGGUCCGUCGAAAAGCAGAACAACUAAAGUGGGCUCGAAGCCAAACCCGGAAGAUCAAACGCGGCAAGGCGGAGCCCGGCGCAAAAUUCCGCGACAAGAAACGUCUCCAUCGCUCGAAGGCACGCCACGCAAUCUCAAGAUCUGUCCCACACUCGUCAUUCAGCGCUUGGUCGGUCGCUGCUGAACGAAUAAAAGGUGCCAGUCUCGCCCGGAAUCUGGCCAACACCGAACACCCCCC